CUAAUACUAAGACAAGGGUUAUGGGUCUGGGAGGAAGAGCCCAGUGGUGAAGCGCCCUGUCACAUCUGCCCGUGUGACCUCUCGGUGAUGGUGCCAGCCUUGACCUCUGGGCUGAGACAGUGGGUCGGGCUCUCCACUGUGGAGACGCCUUGCCUACCUCCCACUCUGUGCUCUCUGGAAGGAAGUCACCAUGUGCAGCCCACACAGAAGGGGCACGAGCUGGGGCCCCCUCCCUGUGCCCCUUACUUUUAUUUAUUUUGAGACGAAGUUUCGCUUGUCGCCCAGGCUGGAGUGCAAUGGCACAAUCUCGGCUCACUGCAACCUCUACUUCCUGGGUUCAAGCGAUCCUCCUACCUCAGCCUCCUGAGUAGCUGGGAUUACAGGUGCCCACCACCAUGCCUGGCUAAUUUUUUGUAUUUUCAGCAGAGAUGCGGUUUCACCAUGUUGGCCAGGCUGGUUUUGAACUCCUGACCCCAGUUGAUCUGCCCGCCUCAGCCUCCCAAAGUGUUGUGAUUACAGGCGUGAGCCACUGUGCCCGGCCGGGCCCCUUCCUUUUAAAUGUCAGCCUCUGGAGUGACCAUCUGUGUUGGCUGGGAGCUCUUCGGAAUGUCCCAUCCAGUUGCUGAGGCUAAUGAUCACCUCUCAGGUCAGGAGUUCGAGACCAGCCUGGGCAACAUGGUGAAACCCCCAUCUCUACUAAAAUACAAAAA
rnacentral:lncRNA from 10 species